UUUCGUUGUAUUGCCUCUAUUGUUUUGAGCAUCGUAGUGCAAUUCGGGAACCAAAGUACUGAGCAGUAUAUCACCCAGCAGCACACACAAGACAAAUCAUUUUUAGACAUCAAGUACCAAACACCAAGUAUGACUCUCUUCAUCCAUAAGGCCCCUAUUGGGCACAGAAGUUCUCGAUGUGACUGCUGUACACACUGUUGUAUGUGCUGGAAUUACCAUCCACGGGCUCCCUAAAUUGACGGGGCCCCCGCGGCCGCUCAGUCCGCGUACCGUUAAAUCCGCCACUGUUUGCGGCCAUCCCUAGAGAUAUGGUUGUCUGGGCUUGUGCGCGGUUCCGGAAGCGGGUGCAGGCGGCCAUCGACGCGGAGGGGGGUUACUUCGAACAAAAAAUGCGGCAAACAUGAAACUGUCAAAUUUAUCUCGAACAUCCUGCUUAUAUACUAU